rnacentral:rRNA from 1 species
UACGUAGGGGGCGAGCGUUGUCCGGAAUGACUGGGCGUAAAGGGCGCGUAGACGGCUUUUUAAGUCUGGAGUGAAAGUCCUGCUUUCAAGGUGGGAAUUGCUUUGGAGACUGGAAGGCUUGAGUGCGGAAGAGGUAAGUGGAAUUCCCAGUGUAGCGGUGAAAUGCGUAGAGAUUGGGAAGAACACCAGUGGCGAAGGCGACUUACUGGGCCGUAACUGACGUUGAUGCGCGAAAGCGUGGGGAG